UUUCCGUAGGUGAACCUGCGGAAGGAUCAUUACUGGGUUCAUUCGGCUGGCGUGGUAAGACAUGCCAGCCUACCACCCGCCCUCUGUCAUAUGCGAAUUGUAUUGCUUCGGCCGCUGGUCCUGCGUGCGGGUCUGCCUCCUUCGUCCGUCCUCCGCUUCGUCUGAAGGGGGGUGACGGGCGUCGGGGGACUCUGACCGACGGGGGGUCCACGGUCGGUCUCUCAACUCAUGAACUGAAAGAUUGUGUCUGAAGCGAUUUUUAAAUAACGAAAAUUAAAACUUUCAACAACGGAUCUCUUGGUUCUG
rnacentral:misc_RNA from 1 species